GUUUCUAGUGGCGGACGGGUGAGUAACGCGUGGGUAACCUGCCUUAUACAGGGGGAUAACAACCAGAAAUGGUUGCUAAUACCGCAUAAGCGCACAGGACCGCAUGGUCCGGUGUGAAAAACUCCGGUGGUAUAAGGUGGACCCGCGUUGGAUUAGCUAGUUGGCAGGGCAACGGCCUACCAAGGCGACGAUCCAUAGCCGGCCUGAGAGGGUGAACGGCCACAUUGGGACUGAGACACGGCCCAGACUCCUACGGGAGGCAGCAUG
rnacentral:rRNA from 1 species